rfam:Populus trichocarpa scaffold_9_contig_85, whole genome shotgun sequence.
UCUAGAACUCGAGAUAUGGGCUAAACACUAAACAGUGUCUGGGCUGCAGGACAGAUUCCGACUUCUCUUUUGUUGCUACAAUUUGAACUUGAAAACGGCCGUUUUGAAUCUUGGACUCUUCAUAAAAGUUUUAGACCUGUGUCUUAGCUUUCCAUC